rnacentral:rRNA from 1 species
CGUACGGGUGAGUAAUGUCUGGGAAACUGCCUGAUGGAGGGGGAUAACUACUGGAAACGGUAGCUAAUACCGCAUAACGUCGCAAGACCAAAGAGGGGGACCUUCGGGCCUCUUGCCAUCAGAUGUGCCCAGAUGGGAUUAGCUAGUAGGUGGGGUAACGGCUCACCUAGGCGACGAUCCCUAGCUGGUCUGAGAGGAUGACCAGCCACACUGGAACUGAGACACGGUCCAG